AACAAGCUAAUUUUGACAACACUAAAAUAAAUAAAUAAAUUGAACUUAACAGAUCUAGCAAAAAUGGCAACCGAGACUUUUAAGUAAACAAAGACACAUUUAUUUACUUAAUUAAAGAAUGUCAACCAAAGAUUUUCCUUUUUUAUUACUUUUCAGUAUUUUAAUAUUUUAUUCAAGCAAUAAGCACUAAUAUACCCAUAUAUAUAUAUAUAUAUGAUAAAUAAUAAUGUUUCUGCCAAGCAAUCCAGUACAUCAGCAAUGUAAUACUGAUGUAAUUACUGAUGUGUUAUUUUACAAUGUCUUCAGCUAAUCAUAACCAAGGACUGGAACUAUUCGUCUUAUAACCAGAGUAUUAAGACAUAUACUAUGUGAGGCACUGCAUGACAGUAAUGAUUGUGCUCUGUGUUUACAUGUAGUCAUCUCUCUCUAGAGCUAUGCUGAAGCCCUUUGCAGAUCUGCUGAGAGAAGGCCAAGUCCAGGAUCACCACACAAGGCCAAGUCCAGGAUCUGAAGGUUAUUGAAAUUGCCAUAAAAGUAA
rnacentral:lncRNA from 1 species